rnacentral:rRNA from 1 species
CCCUUUGUGAACAUACCUACAACUGUUGCUUCGGCGGGUAGGGUCUCCGCGACCCUCCCGGCCUCCCGCCUCCGGGCGGGUCGGCGCCCGCCGGAGGAUAACCAAACUCUGAUUUAACGACGUUUCUUCUGAGUGGUACAAGCAAAUAAUCAAAACUUUUAACAACGGAUCUCUUGGUUCUGGCAUCGAUGAAGAACGCAGCGAAAUGCGAUAAGUAAUGUGAAUUGCAGAAUUCAGUGAAUCAUCGAAUCUUUGAACGCACAUUGCGCCCGCCAGCAUUCUGGCGGGCAUGCCUGUUCGAGCGUCAUUUCAACCCUCAAGCUCUGCUUGGUGUUGGGGCCCUACAGCCGAUGUAGGCCCUCAAAGGUAGUGGCGGACCCUCCCGGAGCCUCCUUUGCGUAGUAACUUUACGUCUCGCACUGGGAUCCGGAGGGACUCUUGCCGUAAAACCCCCCAAUUUUCCAAAGGUUGACCUCGGAUCAGGUAGGAAUACCCGCUGAACUUAAGCAUAUCAA